rnacentral:tRNA from 1 species
GGGAGUGGAUGGGGUCCGGUGGCUUCCGCGGUCUUCAAAACCGUUGGGGCGUUAACGCGCUCGGAGGGUUCGACUCCCUCCCAUUCCCGCCA